UGGGGAAUAUUGGACAAUGGGCGAAAGCCUGAUCCAGCCAUGCCGCGUGUGUGAAGAAGGUCUUCGUAUUGUAAAGCACUUUAAGUUGGGAGGCAGGGCAGUAAGCGAAUACCUUGCUGUUUUGACGUUACCGACAGAAUAAGCACCGGCUAACUCUGUGCCAGCAGCCGUGGUAAUACAGAGGUUGCAAGCGUUAAUCAGAAUUACUUGGCGUAAAGCGCGCGUAGGUUGUUCGUUAAGUUGAAUGUGAAAGCCCAGGGCUCAACCUGGGAACUGCAUCCAAAACUGGCGAGCUAGAGUAGGGCAGAGGGUGGUGGAAUUUCCUGUGUAGCGGAGAAAUGCGUAGAUAUAGGAAGGAACAACAGUGGCGAAGGCGACCACCUGGGCUCAUACUGACACUGAGGUGCGAAAGCGUGGGGAGCAAACAGG
rnacentral:rRNA from 1 species